rnacentral:rRNA from 1 species
GAUGAACGCUGGCGGCGUGCCUAAUACAUGCAAGUCGAGCGAACAGACGAGGAGCUUGCUCCUCUGACGUUAGCGGCGGACGGGUGAGUAACACGUGGAUAACCUACCUAUAAGACUGGGAUAACUUCGGGAAACCGGAGCUAAUACCGGAUAACAUGUUGAACCGCAUGGUUCAACAGUGAAAGACGGUCUUGCUGUCACUUAUAGAUAGAUCCGCGCCGCAUUAGCUAGUUGGUAAGGUAACGGCUUACCAAGGCAACGAUGCGUAGCCGACCUGAGAGGGUGAUCGGCCACACUGGAACUGAGACACGGUCCAGACUCCUACGGGAGGCAGCAGUAGGGAAUCUUCCGCAAUGGGCGAAAGCCUGACGGAGCAACGCCGCGUGAGUGAAGAAGGUCUUCGGAUCGUAAAACUCUGUUAUUAGGGAAGAACAAAUGUGUAAGUAACUAUGCACGUCUUGACGGUACCUAAUCAGAAAGCCACGGCUAGCUACGUG